rnacentral:rRNA from 1 species
GGCGGCAUGCCUUACACAUGCAAGUCGAACGGCAGCACGGGAGCAAUCCUGGUGGCGAGUGGCGAACGGGUGAGUAAUGUAUCGGAACGUGCCCAGUCGUGGGGGAUAACGUAGCGAAAGCUACGCUAAUACCGCAUACGAUCUAUGGAUGAAAGCGGGGGAUCGCAAGACCUCGCGCGAUUGGAGCGGCCGAUAUCAGAUUAGGUAGUUGGUGAGGUAAAGGCUCACCAAGCCGACGAUCUGUAGCUGGUCUGAGAGGACGACCAGCCACACUGGGACUGAGACACGGCCCAGACUCCUACGGGAGGCAGCAGUGGGGAAUUUUGGACAAUGGGCGCAAGCCUGAUCCAGCAAUGCCGCGUGCCAGGAUGAAAGGCCUUCCGCGU